rnacentral:tRNA from 1 species
CUGUUUUUAUUUGUUGUACACAUAGCCGUAGGGGAACCUGCGGCUGGAUCACCUCCUUAAUCGACGACAUCAGCUGCUCCAUAAGUUCCCACACGAAUUGCUUGAUUCAUUGAAGAAGACGAAAAGAAGCAGCCCGAAAUUGGGUCUGUAGCUCAGUUGGUUAGAGCGCACCCCUGAUAAGGGUGAGGUCGGCAGUUCGAAUCUGCCCAGACCCACCAAUUUUGUGUGGGAAACGCCUGUAGAAAUACGGGGCCAUAGCUCAGCUGGGAGAGCGCCUGCCUUGCACGCAGGAGGUCAACGGUUCGAUCCCGUUUGGCUCCACCACUACUGCUUCUGUUUGUAUAAAGCUUAGAAAUGAGCAUUCCAUCGUUGUGAUGGUGAAUGUUGAUUUCUAGUCUUUGACUAGUUCGUUCUUUAAAAAUUUGGGUAUGUGAUAGAAAGAUAGACUGAACGUUACUUUCACUGGUAACGGAUCAGGCUAAGGUAAAAUUUGUGAGUUCUCUUAACUGAGAAAUUCGAAUUUUCGGCGAGUGUCGUCUUCACAGUAUAACCAGAUUGCUUGGGGUUAUAUGGUCAAGUGAAGAAGCGCAUACGGUGGAGCUUGUGUGCAAAAACAAA